UAGUCCACGCUGUAAACGAUGAGAACUAGCCGUUGGGAUAUUGAAUUCUGGUGGCGCAGCAAACGCGAUAAGUUCUCCGCCUGGGGAGUACGGCCGCAAGGUUAAAACUCAAAUGAAUUGACGGGGGCCCGCACAAGCGGUGGAGCAUGUGGUUUAAUUCGAUGCAACGCGAAGAACCUUACCUACCCUUGACAUCCUUGGGAUCUUGUAGAGAUAUGAGAGUGCCUUCGGGAACCGAGUGACAGGUGCUGCAUGGCUGUCGUCAGCUCGUGUCGUGAGAUGUUGGGUUAAGUCCCGUAACGAGCGCAACCCUUGUCCCUAUUUGCUAACAGUUUGGCUGAGAACUCUAGGGAGACUGCCGGUGUUAAGCCGGAGGAAGGCGGGGAUGACGUCAAGUCCUCAUGGCCCUUACGGGUAGGGCUACACACGUGCUACAAUGGCAGUGACAGAGGGAUAAUCCCCAAAAACUGUCUCAGUUCGGAUUGCACUCUGCAACUCGAGUGCA
rnacentral:rRNA from 1 species